rnacentral:rRNA from 1 species
UACGGGGGGUGCGAGCGUUGUCCGGAUUUACUGGGCGUAAAGAGCGCGCAGGCGGCUGGUCAAGUCCGAUGUGAAAUCUCCCGGCUCAACUGGGAAACUGCAUCGGAAACUGAUCGGCUUGAAGAUGGGAGAGGGUAGUGGAAUUCCCGGUGUAGUGGUGAAAUGCGUAGAUAUCGGGAGGAACACCAGUGGCGAAGGCGACUACCUGGCCCAUUCUUGACGCUGAGGCGCGAAAGCUAGGGGAGCGAACGGG